UGGGGAAUAUUGCACAAUGGGCACAAGCCUGAUGCAGCGACGCCGCGUGGGGGGAUGACGGCCUUCGGGUUGUAAACCUCUUUCAGCAGGGACGAAGCGAAAGUGACGGUACCUGCAGAAGAAGCACCGGCCAACUACGUGCCAGCAGCCGCGGUAAUACGUAGGGUGCGAGCGUUGUCCGGAAUUACUGGGCGUAAAGAGCUCGUAGGUGGUUUGUCGCGUUGUUCGUGAAAACCGGGGGGCUUAACCCUCGGCGUGCGGGCGAUACGGGCAGACUAGAGUACUGCAGGGGAGACUGGAAUUCCUGGUGUAGCGGUGGAAUGCGCAGAUAUCAGGAGGAACACCGGUGGCGAAGGCGGGUCUCUGGGCAGUAACUGACGCUGAGGAGCGAAAGCGUGGGGAGCGAACAGGAUUAGAUACCCUGGUAGUCCACGCCGUAAACGGUGGGUACUAGGUGUGGGUUUCCUUCCUUGGGAUCCGUGCCGUAGCUAACGCAUUAAGUACCCCGCCUGGGGAGUACGGCCGCAAGGCUAAAACUUAAAUGAAUUGAC
rnacentral:rRNA from 1 species